rnacentral:rRNA from 1 species
UACGUAGGGGGCUAGCGUUGUCCGGAAUCAUUGGGCGUAAAGCGCGUGUAGGCGGUUCGGUAAGUCUGCUGUGAAAGUCGGGGGCUCAACCCUCGAAUGCCGGUGGAUACUGUCGGACUAGAGUGCGGAAGAGGCGAGUGGAAUUCAUGGUGUAGCAGUGAAAUGCGUAGAGAUCAUGAGGAAGACCAGUGGCGAAGGCGGGUCUCUGGACAGUUCCUGACACUGAGGCACGAAGGCCAGGGGAGCAAACGGG